GAUGAACGCUGGCGGCGUGCCUAAUACAUGCAAGUCGAGCGAACAGACGAUGAUCUUGCUCCUCGCACGUGAGCCGCGGGCGUGUGAGUAACACGUGUAUAACCUACCUAUAAUACUGGGAUAACUUCGGGAAACCGGAUCUAAUACCGUAGAAUAUAUUGAAGCGCAGUGGUCAAUAGUGAAAGACGGUUUUGCGGUCACUUAUAGAUGGAUCUGCGCGUGGUUAGAUGGUUGGUGAGGUAACGGGUUACCAAGGCAACGAGGCGUAGCCGAAUGGAAGGGCGGAUCGCCCACACUGGAGGUGAGACACGGACAAGGGUACUACGGGAGGCAGCAGUAGGGAAUGUUACGCAAUGGGCGAAAACAUGACGGAGCAACGCCGAGUGUGUUACGACGGUCUUCGGAUCGUAAAACUCUGUUAUUAGGGAAGAACCAAUGUGUCAGUAAAUAUGGCGGUCUUGACGGUAAUUAAUAAGAAAGCAACGGCUAACUACGUG
rnacentral:rRNA from 1 species